rnacentral:rRNA from 1 species
UACGGGGGGGGCAAGCGUUGUUCGGAAUCAUUGGGCGUAAAGGGCGCGUAGGUGGUUCUGUAUGUCUACCGUGAAAGCGUACGGCUCAACCGUAUUUUGUCGGUGGAAACUGCAGGACUUGAGGCUGGGAGGGGCUGGUGGAAUUCCCUGUGUAGCGGUGAAAUGCGUAGAGAUGGGGGAGAACACUCGUGGCGAAGGCGGCCAGCUAGACCAGUUCUGACACUGAGGCGCGACAGCGUGGGGAGCAAACAGG